UCAUAUGCUUGUCUCAAAGAUUAAGCCAUGCAUGUCUAAGCACAGGCCUAUACACGGUGAAGCUGCGAAUGGCUCAUUAUAACGGCUAUGAUUCAUUGGAUAAUACCUAGUUACUUGGAUAACUGUGGUAAUUCUAGAGCUAAUACAUGCAACACGGCUCCGACCCCCUUCGCGGGGGGGAAGAGCGAGUUUAUUAGAUCGUAUCAAACCAAUGAGUGGCUUGCCACUCGCACAUUGGUGACUCUGGAUAACUUUGGUCUGAUCGCACGGCCCUCGCGCCGGCGACGUAUCUUUCAAGUGUCCGCCCUAUCAACUCGAGUCGGUAGGCGCCUUGCCUACCGAGGUGGUUACGGGUAACGGAGAAUCAGGGUUCGAUUCCGGAGAGGGAGCCUAU
rnacentral:rRNA from 1 species